rnacentral:rRNA from 1 species
ACUGAAUAGAUACCCAGGUAGUCCACGCCGUAAACGAUGAUCACUCGCUGUUGGCGAUACACAGUCAGCGGCUAAGCAAAAGCAUUAAGUGAUCCACCUGGGGAGUACGGCCGCAAGGCUGAAACUCAAAGGAAUUGACGGGGGCCCGCACAAGCGGAGGAAACAUGUGGUUUAAUUCGAUGAUACGCGAGGAACCUUACCUGGGCUUAAAUGUAGAGUGCAUUGGUGAGAAAUCAUCAUUUUCUUCGGAACUCUCUGCAAGGUGCUGCAUGGUUGUCGUCAGCUCGUGCCGUGAGGUGUCGGGUUAAGUCCCAUAACGAGCGCAACCCUUAUCGUUAGUUGCCAGCGGGUAAUGCCGGGGACUCUAGCGAAACUGCCGGUGUAAACCGAGAGGAAGGUGGGGAUGACGUCAAAUCAGCACGGCCCUUAUGUCCAGGGCUACACACGUGUUACAAUGGCCCGUACAGAGGGCAGCUACCUGGAGACAGGAUGCGAAUCUCGAAAGCCGGUCUCAGUUCGGAUCGGA